GUAACGGCGAGUGAAGCGGCAAAAGCUCAAAUUUGAAAUCUAGUACCCCUACCGAGUGCUCGAGUUGUAAUUUGAAGAUGGCAAACUUUGGUGGCUGGCCCUUGUCUAUGUUCCUUGGAACAGGACGUCACAGAGGGUGAGAAUCCCGUCUGACGAGGUGACCCAGCUGCCGUGUAAAGUGCUAUCGAAGAGUCGAGUUGUUUGGGAAUGCAGCUCUAAGUGGGUGGUAAAUUCCAUCUAAAGCUAAAUAUUGGCGAGAGACCGAUAGCGAACAAGUACAGUGAUGGAAAGAUGAAAAGAACUUUGAAAAGAGAGUGAAAAAGUACGUGAAAUUGUUGAAAGGGAAGGGUAUUAGAUCAGACUUGGCCACCCUACGAUUAUCUGCCCUUUGUGGGCAGUGCACUCGUGGGUGCUUGCUGGGCCAGCAUCGAUUCGGGCGGCAGGAUAAUGGCGAAAGAACGUGGCAUUGGCCUUCUAGGCGGAUGUGUUUAUAGCUUUCGCUGAUGCUGCCUGCCUGGAUCGAGGAUUGCGUCUCUCUGAGACUAGGAUGCUGGCGUAAUGAUUUAAUAUCGCCCGUCUUGAAACACGGACCAAGGAGUCUAACGUCUAUGCGAGUGUUUGGGUGUAAAACCCGUACGCGGAAUGAAAGUGAACGUAGAUGGGAGCCCCCUACCUGGGGGGUGCACCAUCGACCGAUCCUGAAGUCUUCUGACGGAUUUGAGUAAGAGCAUAGCUGUUGGGACCCGAAAGAUGGUGAACUAUGCCUGAAUAGGGUGAAGCCAGAGGAAACUCUGGUGG
rnacentral:rRNA from 1 species